rnacentral:lncRNA from 1 species
UGAAUGCGUUCUCCGGUAUAGAAGGUCCAGUUUUUGGGACAAAAGUGGCUAAAUACCCAGAAUGCCCUCAUCCGGAGCUCAUUAGAGGGCUGAGAGAACAUACUGAUGCUGGAGGGAUCAUAUUGCUCUUGCAGGAUGAUUGUAAAUUAUAAUAGAAUAGAUAUAUUAUUGUGUUGUGUUUAAUAAGAGAAUACAAUAUGCAUAUAUAUAGUAGUAACAUUAGCAUAAUGUUAACACUAGAUAAUGCUAACUUUCCUAAACAUUUAAUGUAAAUAUGCUAGAAUAUCUUGAGAGUAACUUGUUCUUCAAGUCUUUUCCUUUUAGUUUUGAUGAUCUUCAAGGGUUUCACGGGCUUCACAAUCUUGGUCCGUAAGAUACACAUCUUACAGCCCACAUAUCUCUAAUACUCCCCCGCACGACAAACGUGGGAUGCAACACGCAAAUCUGCAAUCGCAAAGCAGACCACGUAUGUCGUGGACACUAUGUCGAGAAAAACAAAUCAGUAGGUUCCUCCGAGAAUAAACUUCAACUUUAGACAAGGAGGGGUGAAAACUUCAGCUCUUCUUUGGUCUUGACAAUGAGAAUACAUCCCGUGGGCGCAACUGCAGCUCCACAAACAAUCGUCCUUAACUUGGACAGUCCAUACACCGGACUAAAAAAAAACUGACCUAAAAAUUUAAUCGUUCAACUAGAACUCCCCCGUAAUGGUUAAACUAUAACCAAAGUAUUCCAAACUAUGGAAUAUAAAAAAAGACAUAUCUUGAGAAAUUCUAAACCAUAGAAUAAUCUCUACAUAAAAUAACCCAUGUGAAAACUACAAACCCAUAAACCCACUAACUUUUGCACUCAGCCGACCAAACUAAAACAAAUGUUAGAAAGAAAAGAAAAAAAAAUCCCUUUGACAUAGGUAAACGUACUAAACAAAACCCUAAUAGUUAUUAUUCUUAACUAAAACACCAAACUCCAACGACCACAUUCACGUUACCAUGUCGUUUUCAUCGUCGCCAUCCUCACCAUCUUCUUCAACAUCGCCAACACCAACGAUGAUGAUCAUCAAAGCUUUAAACUUAUAAUGCGGAAGCUUUAAUUUUGAUCCCUAAGAAUCGAAUGCUCUGAUACCAUGUAUGUAAAUAUAUAGUAGUAAGAGAAUAUUCUAUUAUACUUUAUAUGCUCUGAUACCAUGUAUGUAAACUUAUAAACCUGGCUCUGAUACCAUGUUAGAUUUGAGUUUAUUAUGGGCUUCCAACUCAAAACCAAUUGGCAAUUAGUGGAUUGGCCCUAACCCUUUAUAUAUUACUUAAUGUCCCAUUGAUUUUCCAAUGUGGGAUACAUAUCCCUUAAUACCCCUCCUCGAGAUGAUGGCUCUUAUCGGCCAGAAAUCUCGGAACUUUAAGACAGUUAUACUCGGUCGAGCGAGUCAAUUACGACCUAUAUACCCGGUCGGGUAGGGUUAAUAUUAAUUAGGGGUUUAACUUAUUAGAACCUGGCUCUGAUACCAUGUAAAUUAUAAUAGAAUAGAUAUAUUAUUGUGUUGUGUUUAAUAAGAGAAUACAAUAUGCAUAUAUAUAGUAGUAACAUUAGCAUAAUGUUAACACUAGAUAAUGCUAACUUUCCUAAACAUUUAAUGUAAAUAUGCUAGAAUAUCUUGAGAGUAACUUGUUCUUCAAGUCUUUUCCUUUUAGUUUUGAUGAUCUUCAAGGGUUUCACGGGCUUCACAAUCUUGGUCCGUAAGAUACACAUCUUACAGCCCACAUAUCUCUAAUAAUGAUCAAGUGCCUGGUCUUGAGUUCUUAAAAGAUGGGAAGUGGGUUCCUAUCCCACCAUCGAAGAACAAUACCAUUUUUGUCAAUACCGGUGAUCAAGUCGAGAUAUUGAGUAAUGGGAGGUACAAGAGUGUUGUACACCGUGUGAUGACGAUGAAGCAAGGAAGUCUGUCGAUAGCUACAUUUUACAAUCCAGCUGGGGAUGCCAUAAUAUCUCCAGCUCAAGAGAUGUUGUACCCAAGUGGUUACCGAUUCCAAGACUAC